GUGCUUCCUCCAUUACUGUGAUGCUGAAUCACCCAGCAUCAUUUCCUUGUGGCAGCGGUGAAAAAGUCGUGUGGAGGAAGACCUUCCCCAUAGAAGCAACUGUUGCUACAUGCCAAAAGCAGAAAUGCAUUAUUGAUGAAAGCUUUCGGGAAAGAUUUGCAGUCAAGCAUGAAAACAACUCUCUAUUUCUCAAGGCAGCUAAAUACAAUGACCUGGGGCAAUACGAGUGCAGCUGUGAUGGCUUAAUCAAGCAAAUUAAACUGGAUGUUGUAGUUCAUAUAAACGUGACAGUUGCUGAGUUGGGAAACGUCACUCUUCCGUGUUAUGCGGAUACUCAGAGCGGUGUCAGUGAUGUGACGUGGCUACAUUAUGAACAAAAAGCUCUGCACUACACUGCAGUAGGAGCCACAAUCCCAGGCCUGGGCUAUGAGGAAAGAGUAUCGCUGACAGAGGACGGAUACAGAGACGGUGAUGUGUCUCUGACCAUCACUGGUGUCCAUCAGACAGACGCAGGAUUAUACCGCUGCUUCGUUCGAGAUGAGACGGACAGAGGAUACCCACACGCCUACAUGCUGCAUGUUAUCGAGAAGCUCACCAGUGCAGGAGGAGACCAGACUGAGAGCACCAGCAAAGAAAAACGAACUCGCCUUGGACUGAUCUCAUCUUUCUCACUCUUCAUUUGCUUUCUUCUUCUUCUUUUCUGCUGUAAGAAGAAGGCAUCACCCACAGUGGAAACUACAGAUAGUGAGCCCGUACAGGAGAGUGACCAAAACCAUUCAACUCGUCCUUUUUAUUCUGGAGAAGAGACCUAUAUGAACUGUCAAACCUGAGAUUGAACAAUAACAGGCAUUCUAAUAAUGAAACUGCUGACACCAUUUAAACACGUGAACAUGUGUCAUUCAUGUAACUGGCAGCUGCCUUCUGAUGCAGAAGUAAAAAAUAUGAAAACUGUAAUCUUGGGAGCACAGAAAGUUUUGAACACUGUAAUGUUUAUUGUGUGAGUUCAGUUGUGUGCUGAGUGUACACAUGUUCCCUGUGGAUGGAGAGAGAUGCAAGACUUUUAAUAUUCUCAUACUUCUCAUUUAUUUACACAAAUUUAUAUUUUUAUUUCGAAAUGAUCAAAAUUGUAGUUCAUGAGAAUAACAAAUAAACAAAAGUAUGUAUAUGAUGAUUAAUAAAAG
ensembl:lncRNA